GGCUGUAGCUCAGUGGUAGAGCAUCUGCCUUGUAUGCAUAGUGUCCCAGGUGCAAUCUGGCAUCUCCUGGUAAGGCUG